UGUCCACGCCCCCUGUUCGUCGCCCGUCGACGCAACUCGGGGUUUGUUAGUGGGACGUCCAGCCGGUGGGUGCCCUGGGCUUCGGUCCGAGUGCGUCGAUGGUCCGUCCCUGGCGUUUUCCCUUCGGGGUCUCCGCCUUGGGCGGCCGCGGCCCUCGCCAAAGUCAAAGGACCCAUUCUACCCGAGCGGGUGGUCUUAAACGAUCGCCCGCAAAGGCCGGCUCGUUUACUUUGAACAAAUUAGAGUGCUCAAAGCAGGCCCGAAAAGCCUGGAUAUUUCGCGCAUGGAAUAAUGGAAUAGGAUCUCGGUUCUAUUUUAUUGGUUUUCUGAACCAGAGAUAAUGAUUAAUAGAGACGGUCGGGGACAUUCGUAUUGCGACGUUAGAGGUGAAAUUCUUGGAUCGUCGCAAGACGAACAGAAGCGAAAGCGUUUGUCAAGGACGUUCUCGUUGAUCAAGAACGAAAGUUAGAGGUUCGAAGCGAAUCAGAUAA
rnacentral:rRNA from 2 species